rnacentral:lncRNA from 1 species
GGGACGCCGGCGAAGCCGCGCACGCCCCAGGGAUGGCGGCGGCGGGGCCCCUCGCGUCGGCCCUCGGGCUCUGGCGGCGGCGCCUCGCGUCGGCGGUUGCGGGAUCCGCUGUGAUCUCGCCAAUCGGCGGCGGCGGAGGGCAGAUCCGGGGCUCCAUGGCCGGAUCUGGCGGGGCACUCGGCCCUGGUGGUACAGCGGCAGCCGGGCGAGGCUGCGCUGGUCGG